CCUACGGGAGGCUGCAGUGGGGAAUAUUGCGCAAUGGGCGAAAGCCUGACGCAGCGACGCCGCGUGAGGGAUGAAGAUCUUCGGAUCGUACACCUCUGUCAGCAGGGAAGAACGGUCACUUUGCUAAUCAGCAGUGAAUUGACGGUACCUGCAAAGGAAGCACCGGCUAACUCCGUGCCAGCAGCCGCGGUAAUACGGAGGGUGCGAGCGUUAAUCGGAAGUACUGGGCGUAAAGCGCUCGUAGGCGGUAUGUCAAGUCAAGGGGGACAUCCCCGCGCUCAACGUGGGAACUGCCUUUGAAACUGGCAAACUCGAGUGUGUGAGCGGAGAGUGGAAUUCCAGGUGUAGGAGUGAAAUCCGUAGAUAUCUGGAGGAACAUCAGUGGCGAAGGCGACUAUCUGGCACAUAACUGACGCUGCGGGGCGAAAGCGUGGGUAGCAAACAGGAUUAGAUACCCCUGUAGUC
rnacentral:rRNA from 1 species